rnacentral:rRNA from 1 species
UCCCUUUCAACUGUGCAGGGGAGGGGGCAAGGAUGGCGCAAGCCGUACUUGCGAACUCCCCGCCCCUAGGCCUCGGCGAUGCGAGGACGGCAUUUUUCAUGCGGCGGUANNCUGCAUGACUCGAGCCAAGNCGAGUGUCGCCUGCGGUCGAGGGUUAUGAAUGCGGCGAUCCGGUUUCAUGGUUUGCGCGGUGCGGGGGAUUUGCUCGGGAGCGAUGCGAACGCGGCUGGUGCAAAAGAGGUCCUGUACGGUCGCAGUUGCGGAGGGAACCGAGCCGUUCGUCCCGUAUACGGGCGAUAUCAUGAUUUCGAUUGUGCGCGCGACGCGGUGCCAGGGGCUUUCCCUUCCGACGAAGGGAACUCGGGACUGUCGCAACCACUCGUCGCGUUGCAAAGGGGUGACGAGACGGUGCUACGGGAGAGCGUGCGUCGCAUGCGUGUGCACCUGCAUAUCUUUGCGGGGCAGGACUCCUCGUCACGCGGCAGCACCCGUCUUCAAGCAACGUCCACCCUUUCAAUGCGCGGGCGGGGACACCUCUCUCUCGAGGCAGGUCCUCCCGACUUCUAGGGGCUGCAGCGAGCGGGUACGUGUUAAAACCAACGCACGGGUGCGGCGCGCCCGUAGAAAUCCAAACACAAGGGGCGAUGCGAGUGCCUUGCGCGCUUGCCUCGCCCAAAAGACAUUGAUUCGGACUUGAAUACGACUCUCGGCAACGGAUAUCUCGGCUCUCGCCACGAUGAAGAAUGUAGCGAAAUGCGAUACUUAGUGUGAAUUGCAGAAUCCCGUGAAUCAUCGAGUCUUUGAACGCAAGUUGCGCCCGAGGCUUUGGCCGAGGGCACGUCUGCUUGGGCGUCGCACUCUAAAACAUCGUCCCCCAAGCACCGGGGGAGCGCAGAUGGCCAUCCGUGCACAACGGCGGUGCGGUCGGCUGAAAUGAGCACGAGAUCCGAUUAAUCCGUUGCGACGAGCGGUGGCCUCUACGGGUCGGCGUUGGUUUGCGCGGGUAUGCAAAUCGGGUGAGUGAGGAACUUUGAUCGGGCUUCAACGGCUCGCUUCCCCGUGGGCGAGUCCGUCUGGCCGCUACCGCGUCCCCAAGUCAGGCGUGAAUACCCGCUGAG